rnacentral:rRNA from 1 species
UGCCGCGUGAGUGAAGAAGGCCUUCGGGUUGUAAAGCUCUUUUGUCAGGGAAGAAAAGGUGCGCUCUAACAUAGCGUACUGAUGACGGUACCUGAAGAAUAAGCACCGGCUAACUACGUGCCAGCAGCCGCGGUAAUACGUAGGGUGCAAGCGUUAAUCGGAAUUACUGGGCGUAAAGCGUGCGCAGGCGGUUUUAUAAGUCUGAUGUGAAAUCCCCGGGCUCAACCUGGGAACUGCAUUGGAGACUGUAAGGCUAGAGUGUGUCAGAGGGGGGUAGAAUUCCACGUGUAGCAGUGAAAUGCGUAGAUAUGUGGAGGAAUACCGAUGGCGAAGGCAGCCCCCUGGGAUAACACUGACGCUCAUGCACGAAAGCGUGGGGAGCAAACAGGAUUAGAUACCCUGGUAGUCCACGCCCUAAACGAUGUCUACUAGUUGUCGGGACUUAAUUGUCUUGGUAACGCAGCUAACGCGUGAAGUAGACCGCCUGGGGAGUACGGUCGCAAGAUUAAAACU